rnacentral:lncRNA from 1 species
CGACCCGCGCCCAGGCAGGACUCCUCCCCCCGCGCUGCUAGCUCUAGCACUCGUGCUCUGGCCCCUGGUCGCUUCGCCUCGCCGCCGAUCACCCUGCAGCGACGGCGCAACUGCCGCGCCCCCAGCCAGCCCUGGACGCUGGGUGCCUUCCUCUCCGCGGCCACCAAACAGCUCGACGCCGUUCUGCCCUCUCCCGGGAAGCGGCAGCGCCCCGCCCUCAACUUCAGUCCCAGGAGGGGACGUUCCGCAGCCGCCGACAAAGCCUCG